CGUUCUCUACAUAAUUUUUGAGGUGCCUCUAUUCUUUUUAUUUCACCUUUAUUUAACCAGGUAUGCCAGUUGAGAACAAGUCAAGUCUCAUUUACAACUAUGACCUGGCCAAGAUAAAGCAAAGCAGUGUGACAAAAACAACAACACAGAGUUACACAUGGGAUAAACAAAUGUACAGUAUAACACAAUAGAAAAAUCUGUAUACGGUGUUUGCAAAUGAAGUAAGGAGGUAAGGCAAUAAAUAGGCCAAUAGUGGCGAAGUAAUUACAAUUUAUCAAUUUACACUGGAGUGAGAUAUGUGCAAGUAGAAAUACUGGUGUGCAAAAGAGCAGAAAAACAAACAUGGGGAUGAGGUAGGUAGUUGGAUGGGCUAUUUACACAUGUGCUGUGCACAGCUGGAGCGAUCGGUAAGCUGCUCUGACAGCUGACGCUUAGUGAGGGAGAUAUAAGUCUCCAACUUAAGUGAUUGUUGCAAUUUGUUCCAGUCAUUGGCAGCAGAGAACUGGAAGGAAAGGCGGCCAAAGGAGGUGUUGGCUUUGGGGAUGACCAGUGAAAUAUACCUGGUAGAGGUCGACCGAUUAUGAUUUUUCAACGCCGAUACCGAUUAAUCGGCAAUUUUAUUUAUUUUUUGUAAUAAGGACAAUUACAACAAUACUGAAUGAACACUUUUAACUUAAUAUAAUACAUCAAUAAAAAUAAAUUUAGCCUCAAAUAAAUAAUGACAUUUUGUUUAAUUAAUUUUUAAUUUAAAUUUUGUUUAAAUAAUGCAAAAACAAAGUGUUGGAGAAGUAAAAGUGCAAUAUGUGCCAUGUAAAAAAGCUAAUGUUUGAGUUCCUUGCUCAGAACAUGAGAACAUAUUGUAACGACCCUGGGUUUAUAAGCGCGGAAAUCGACUCUGCCGCACGAGCAUGCUUUUGCGGCACAGUCGAUAGCAUGCCGGAACUCGGGCUCGAAGGUCGAGGGUUCGAGACUUGCUCCUUGCUGUUUCAUUACAAUAUGAAAGUUGGUGGUUCCUUUUAACAUGAGACUUCAAUAUUCCAAGGUAAGAAGUUUUAGGUUGUAGUUAACAUAGUAUUUAUAGGACUAUUUAUCUAUACCAUUUGUAUUUCAUAUACCUUUGACUAUUGGAUGUUCUUAUAGGCACUUUAGUAUUGCCAGUAUAACAGUAUAGCUUCCGUCCCUCUCCUUGCCCCUACCUGGGCUCAAAUCAGGAACACAUCGACAACAGCCACACUCGAAGCAGCGUUACCCAUCGCUCCAUAAAAGCCACGGCCCUUGCAGAGCAAGGGGAAUAACUACUCCAAGUCUCAGAGCGAGUGACAUUUGAAACGCUAUUAGCGCGCACCCCGCUAACUAGCUAGCCAUUUCACAUCGGUUACACCAGCUAUAGGCUGAUAGGCUUGAAGUCAUAAACAGCACCGUGCUUGCGAAGAGCUGCUGGCAAAAUGCACGAAAGUGCUGUUUGAAUGAAUGCUUACGAGCCUGCUGCUGCCUACCAUCGCCCAGUCAGACUGCUCUAUCAAAUAUCAAAUCAUAGACUUAAUUAUAACAUAACACACAGAAAUACGAGCCUUCGGGUCAUUAAUAUGGUUGAAUCUGGAAACUAUCAUUUAGAAAACUAAACGUUUAUUAUUUCAGUGAAAUACGGAAUCGUUCCGUAUUUUAUCUAACGGGUGGCAUCCUUAAGUCUAAAUAUUCUUGUUACAUUGCACAACCUUCAAUGUUAUGUCAUAAUUACGUAAAAGUCUGGCAAAUUAGUUCGCAUUGAGCCAGGCUGCCCAAACUGUUGCAUAUACCCUGACUGCAUGCAAUGAAUGCAAGAGAAGUGACACAAUUUCACCUGGUUAAUAUUGCCUGCUAACCUGGAUUUCUUUUAGCUAAAUAUGCCGGUUUAAAAAUAUAUACUUCUGUGUAUUGAUUUUAAGAAAGGCAUUGGUGUUUAUGGUUAGGUACAGUCGUGGAACGAUUGUGCUUUUUUCGCAAAUGAGCUUUUGUUAAAUCAUCCCCAGUGUUGCAUCGAUUAUAUAGUGAUUGAUUGUUUUUUUUAUAAGAUAAGUUUAAUGCUAGCUAGCAACUUACCUUGGCUUCUACUGCAUUUGCGUAACAGGUAGGCUCCUCGUGGAGUGCAAUUAGAGGCAGGUGGUCAGAGCGUUGGACUAGUUAACCGUAAGGUUGCAAGAUUGAAUCCCAGAGCUGACAAGUUAAAAAUCUGUCGUUCUGCCCCUGAACAAGGCAGUUAACCCAGUGUUCCUAGGCCGUCAUUGAAAAUAAGAAUGUGUUCUUAACUGACUUGCCUAGUUAAAUAAAGGUGUAAAAAAAAUAAUUGGCGUCCAAAAAUAGGGAUUUCCGAUUGUUAUGAAAACUUGAAAUCGGCCCUAAUUAAUCCGUUGACCUCUAAUACCUGCUGGAGCGCGUGCUAAGGGUGGGUGUUGCUAUGGUGACUAGUGAGCUGAGAUAAGUUGGAGCUUUACCUAGCAAAGACUUAUAGAUGACCUGGAGUCAGUGGGUUUGGCGACAAAUAUGUAGCAAGGACCAGCCAACGAGAACAGUAUCAUGGGGCUUUGGUGACAAAACGGAUGGCACUGUGAUAGACUGCAUCCAAUUUGCUGAGUAGAGUGUUGGGUUAUUUUGUAAAUGACAUCGCCGAAGUCAAGGAUCGGUAGGAAAGUCAGUUUUACGAGGAUAUGUUUGGCAGCAUGAGUGAAGGAUGCUUUGUUGCGAAAUAGGAAGUUGAUUCUAGAUGCUUAAUGUGAGUCUGGAAGGAGAGUUUAUAGUCUAACCAGACACCUAGGUAUUUGUAGUUGUCCACAAGUCAGAGCCGCCCAGAGUAGUGAUGUUAGUCGGGCGGGCGGGUGCGGGCUGCGAUCGAUUGAAGAGCAUGCGUUUCGUUUUACUAGCUUUUAAGAGCAGUUGGAGGCCACAGAAGGAGUGUUGAAGCUCGUCUUAAGGUUUGUUAACACAGUGUCCAAAGAAGUGCCAGAUGUAUACAGAAUGAUGUCGUCUGUGUGGAGGUGGAUCAAAGAAUCACCAGCAGCAAGAGCGACAUCAUUGAAAUAUACAGAGAAAAGAGUCGGCCCGAGAAUUGAACCCUGUGGCACCCCCAUAGACUGCCAGAGGUCCGGACAGCAGGUCCUCUGAUUUGACACACUGAACUUUAUCUGAGAAGUAGUUGGUGAUCCAGACAAGACAAUCAUUAGAGAAACCAAGGCUGUUGAGUCUGCCGGUAAGAAUACGGUGAUUGACAGAGUCGAAAGCCAGGUCGAUGAAAACAGCUGUAAAGUACUGUCUUUUAUCGAUGGCAAUUAUGAUAUCGUUUAGGAUCUUGAGCGUGGCUGAGGUGCACCCGUGACCAACUCGGAAAUCAGAUUGCAUAGCGGAGAGGGUACGCUGGGAUUCGAAAUGGCCGGUGAUCUGUUUGUUCACUUGGCUUUCGAAGACAUAAGAAAGGCAGGGCAGGAUGGAUAUAGGUCUUUAACAGUUUGGGUCUAGAGUGUCUCCCCCUUUUGAAGAGGGGGAUGACCGCAGCAGCUUUUACAAUAUUUAGGAAUCUCAGGCAAUCCGAAAGACUAGUAAUAGGGGUUGACUAGUAAUAGGGGUUGCAACAAUUGCGGCAGAUAAUUUUAGGAAGAGAGGGUCCAGAUUGUUUAGCCAAGCUGAAUUGUAGGGAUCCAGCUUUUGAAGCUCUUUCAGAACACCAGCUGUCUGCAUUUGGGUGAAGGAGAAGCGGGGGGGCUUGAGCCAAUUGCUGCGGGGGGUGCAUGGCUUUUGGCUGGUGUUGGGGUAGCCAGGUGGAAUGCAUGGACAGCCGUAGAGAAAUGCUUAUUGAAAUUCUCGAUUAUCGUGGAUAUAUCAGUGGUGACAGUGUUUCCUAGUCUCAGUGCAGUGGGCAGCUGAGUGGAGGCACUCUUAUUCUCUAUGGACUAUACAGUGUUUCUAGCACCGUAGAAGAUUGGAGUGAUCCACAUAGCUCACAUAAUCGUGGUUACAUAUGUAACCUUUUAUGUUUCACUAUAUUGGAUCACUCCAAUAUAUUGGUAUACCCGUACCAGAUUAUUCGGUGCUAGAGGGACCUGGCCAGCCAGCGGCUUAGUCCCAGUGCUGAACCAAGACGCAGGGACCGUCAAUGUGGAAGGGGGGUCCCGAAACAGUCCCCGGAAGGUGGAAGCCCAGCUGGCCGCAGCACAGUUCUCUUAGAGGGGCACUCCUCUCAGUAGAGCCCAGGAUGCAGCCACACCUCGUGUUGAAUGUGCCACCACAGAUCCCAGCACUGGCAUGCCAGCCAGGCGAUAUGCUGUCAUAAUCGUGUCCACGAUCCUGUGAAAGAGCCUCUGCUUUGAUAGCCCAGCCCCCAGGACUCUCUCACCAUAACAGACAAAGAGCUGGUCUGUUGUUCUCACUGACCGUGUCCGCUCCACAUAGGCAGCCAGUGCCCUCGCAGGGCACAGCAUGCCGGAGGGAGGCCCAGACUCCCCCGCCACUGCUGGGAGGUCAUAAGCAGACAGGAUAAAAGGGAUGUUCACAUGCCUGUCUGACACAUCCUUCGGGAGGACUGAAGAGUUGGGGCGGAGAGAUAUACUCCUCCCCCAGUGUCCAUCCUUUAGCACUUAGAACUUACUGAAAGAGCAUGGAGCUCACCCACCCUCUUCAUGGAAGUAAUUGCUACCAAGAAAGCCACCGUUUGAAAGGUGGCUUUGCCAAAGCUGCCAAGACUACAUUUAGAUCCCAGUUCACCAUUGAGCGGGUCCUAACUGGACGCAGGCGACAAACCCCCUUCAAAAACCUGGAGACCAAGGCAAGGGAUGGCGUCCCACUGGCCUGUCCAUCCACCCCACAAUGCAGGCAGAUCUUGCGGCCAAAUACCCUCUCAGUGUUGAGGCUGCCAAGCCCUCAUCCAAGCGAGACUGCAGGUAUUGGUGAACAUACUGCACCCCACAUGACUCGGGCACAACCUCAAUACCAGUGCACCAAAAGCAGAACAACCGCCGGCACAACUGGUAUGCCGCGGUUGUAGCCGGCGCCCUGUGCUCUGCAUGGUGUUCAUUACACACUCCUGUAGUCCUAACAUGGACCAUUGGUACCGUUCAGUGGCCAAUCCCACAGACUGAGGCGGUGUGGCAUCGGAUGCCACAGAGUUCCCCGGCCUGAGACAGCAGGUCUGGUCUCAGGGGAAGUUGCCAAGGUGUCCCAGACAACAGGGACAGGAGAAGGCUGAAUCAGGGUCGUUUGGGCCAGUAUGGGACCACCAGAAGCAGACGAUGCUCUGAUAUCCUGGUUCUGUCCAACUUAGCCUGGAUCAGGGGAAAUGGGGCGAAUGUGUAAAGCUUCAGCCCUGGCCAAUCGUGAGCCAGAGCAUCCAAGCCCAGAGGCCCUGGUGGCUCCAACAUGGAGUACCACAGGGGGCAGUGUGCAUUGUCCAGGGAGGCAAAUGGGUCCCCCUGCACCCUCCUGAACUUGUCCCACAGGUGCUGCACCACCUGGGGAUGUAGGCUCCAGUCCCAAGGUGGCGGGCCCUCCCUCGAGAGCAUAUCCGCUGUCACACUCAGGAUGUCAUAUAUGUGCGCUGCGCGUAGAGACGCUAGACGUCCUGAGCCCAGAGGAGCUCCUGUGCUAUAAGAUUGAGGCGGUGUGACCUCAGUCCACCCUGAUGGUUGAUGUAAGCCACCGCUGUGGUGUUGUCUGUUCUCACCAGGACAUGUCUUCCUUUCAGAUGUGUAAGGAAAGACCGCAGGGCCAGCAGUACAGCUCAGCGUUCUUGUGUAUUGAUGUGCCUGCUGCUCCAAGGGGGUAGCCAACAGCCGCUGGCCAACCUAACCUUAGUCACACCCCCGAGCUGAUCUGGGAGGCGUCUGUGCUGACCAGCUCCCGGCGGUACGCCCUCAGCAUCUCCACCCCACCUGAGAGAAAGGAGCGACAGCGCCACCUCAACAAUGCCCUGAGGCCCUGUGCGGUCACCCGCAGCUGGCGGUGACGGUGGCGCUUCGGGUGCAGCCGGUGGGAGUUGAACCACCGUUGAAGAGGCUGGAGGAAUCAUCGACGAGGCCGCCAUCAGCAAGCCCAACAGGCGUUGUCAGGGCAGAUACCACCCGCCCCUGCCGAAAGUGGUCAAUAAAAUCGCCUGAACCCUUCUGGUGGGCAGGCGUGCUCUCAUGAGGACUGAGUCCAGUUCCAUGCCAAUGAAGGCCACCCUUUGGGUGGGUGUCAGAUGACACUUCUUGUUUACUGUAAUGCCCAGCCCGCCGAUGUGGGUCAGGAGUAUGUCGGGGCACAAAUUAGCCCAUCGUCCAGGUAAUUGAGGAUCAACAAUCCUCGGGACGUGAGUGGUGCCAGGACAGCAUCCAUGCACUUUGUGAAAGUGCGGGGUGCCAAGGAGAGGCCGAAGGGAAGAACCAUGAAUUCGUAAACCGUCCCUUUGAAAGUGAAUCGGAGGUACUGCCAAUGAGCUGGGUAAACAGGAACAUGAAGUACGCAUCCCCAAGGUCCAGCGUCACAAACCACUGGUCCUGGACACAGCCUGCAACACGCGGCUGGGGAUAGCAUGUGGUACCUCAGUACCUUCAAGUACCCAUUGAGGUUGCGAAAGGUCCAGAAUCGGUCAAAACCCUUAUUCUCUUUUUGAGACCACAAAAUAAGUGGAAUUGAACCCACCUAGCUGUUCUGAUGUCUCAAUCCUGCGGAUAGCACCCUUGUCGAGGAGGGAGGAGAUCUCCAGCCACAGGGUUUUCUUCAGGGGGUUGGCCACCGUGGUAACACAAAAGGCACCUGAAGGACGGGGGCCGGAAUUGGAGUCGAUACCCCUUGAGCAUUGUGGACAACACCCAGGGAGACUCCACACCCUCCUCCCACUUUACCCUUUGAGACCGGGAGAAGCGGCCAGGAAGGGUGUGUCAGGGGUCCUGUCGGGGCCCGCCUCUCCUCUGGCGCCCUGAGCGCCUGGGUCUUGGUGGUUGACACCAUCACACCUGUAACAAAGGGAAGCCAUAAGCUCAACCAAGACAAGGCCACGGAGCAGGGGUCAGACGCCCUGGGAAAGCUUAUGUUGUGACCACUUUGGAGGAAUAGGUACCCGGUGAGGGAUAAAUUACCCAGCACCUCUGCAAAAACUGGGGAUGACCCAUGUGGGGGAAAAACAGGCUGUUGCUUCACUGCACGCUGUGCUGCUCCCAUUGUCGUCCCGUAGCACAAGGUGAUGGGGCAGGAGAGGGACCCUCUGGAGCAGGGAAAGCAGACAAGACACCUCCAUCACUUCAUGGAGGAGCUCCUUUGUCACCUCAUGCCCCAGUCCAGGACUGGCAGCAGAUGGGCUCUGCCUGCGGUGGCUCCGGCCUCGCUUCCUGGGAAUGGUACUGGGCCCGGUAGAGGGACUAACAGCUCGCUGCCGCACCACUCCUGUGGGAGGGAGCUCGUCCCCAACCUGAGCCCGAGCUUGGCCGACACACUCACGCAUGGCCUCCAAUUGCACCAGGUGCAGGCAUUCUGAGAACACCACACCAAACAUCACACCUGUCACAAAGGGAAGCCAUAAGCUCAGCCAAGCCAACAAGGCCACGGAGCAGGGGUUUGGCGCCCUGGGAGAGCUAUGUCGUGACACGCUUGGAGGAAUAGGAACCCGGUGCGGGAUAAAUUACCCAGCACCUCUGCAAACACCGGGUAGACUCCUGUGGGAAAAACAGGCAGACAGAAAAACAGCAACCAGGUAAUGGAUUUAUUUUAUUUUUUUGCCAAUAUUACCUAUCGGUUUCAUAUCCAAGCAGUAAAAACAGAACCAUAUGGAGUAACACCUGUUAAGGAACUCCAAAGUUAAUGUCUUAACAAUGGAAAGAACUCCAAAGUCAAUGUCUCUUAGUGGAAAGCCCACUACGAUACUCUUACACUCUGCAGGGGAAAGAACAUGCAGGAUAAUUAACAGAGAACCAGCAGCAUGUUAAGGCAAUUCACAACACACACACAGAACAAGCCAGUCGGCAAGUUGUGUAAGGUCAUUUACAGUUUGUGGCAGCAAGAGCCACCAAUAUAUUAAUGCACACGGAUUCGUAGUGUAACGCUAAUGAAACGCAAGCAUGACAAACCACGGGCGGAAGAUACAGAUCAACCAUGCACAGCGAGUGGAGCACUGAAGAGGGACUGGCCAUGUGGCCAGCUGCUCCAGGCCGCAAACAGCCAGUGAGUAUACUUCCACGCAAUAUAUUACACUUACCAGUGACUUACCAAGCGAACUUCAGAAAGUUUGUACCUCAAAACAUACAGACGUCCGCCGAUAAAAUGAAGGAGAACGUGACGCGGCCAUGGGGUCUAUAUAUAGGGGCGGACCCCAGCUGUGACACAGGUGUACACAGAAGUAAAUAUCAAAAUCCUCACCUCUGAUGUAUACCCCCGCCGCAGGAGUUGCUAGAGCUCGAUGGGACAAGAACAUCCCUGCCGGCAAAACACUCCCCUAACCCGGACGACGCUGGGCCAAUUGUUUGCUGCCCCAUGGGUCUCCCAGUUGCGACAGAGCCUGGACUCGAUCCAGGAUCUCUAGUGGCACAGCUAGCACUGCGAUCCAGUGCCUUAGACAACUGCGCCACUCGGGAGGCCCUCACUUAUCACAUUCUAUCAUCAUUAUAUUGAAAGAUUUCUAUCACCUGUGUUUCUGUGGUGUGUCUGUGUCUCCUCCUCCAGCUCGUAAUGUGUCAGUGCCCCCUGAGCGGCUGGUCUCUGUGAGGACGCUGGCAGCAUCCCUCCACUGCCCCCUAUUGUGUGCAGAGGAUCAGACAACAGAGGGGGUGACCACGGCAGCACACCGAUUACUGGCCAUUCUCAAGGUAGCGGCCGGUCUUGUCCCUAUGGCAACUAGUCUCUACCUGUCCACCUUGACCCGCUGCACUGUGCCCUCUGACAUUGACCAGCAGAACUUUGAGUGAUCUUGACCUUUAACCCAGUACAGAACAUCACCUGGACGUGCCAAGUCUGGUUGACCAGGUAGUUACAUUUAAUGGACUGUUACUUGUGCUCAAUAGCUAUUGCGGUCUCUAAAGCAGAUAAAUGUAACAGGUUUAUAUAGAGUGGACUGCAUGUGAUAUCGUUAAAAUUUUGUUUGUAUAUGCAGAAUGUUUACCAUGCACUUAGUACCUUUUUUUAAAUACAUUUUUGGUUUUGUUCACAUUGUAAACUUAACCAUUUACAAUUAUAAUUGGGGUUACACACUAAUAUAAUUGGGGUUACACACUAACUUUACUUUUUAGAAUGUCACUUGUUGCUGUGUCAAUAUACUGACAUUAGGUGGAGUGCCUGCUGCCUGGCGAAAUCCGUUGGUUCAAUGCCUCCAAAUUGCUUUCUGGUUGCUAUAGAAACAGGAUGAUGGAAAGGAUGUGGUUUUCUGGGAUAUGCCCAACAUAUUGACGAAAUUGAACCAUGCAAUUGAUGUCCCCUUAUCUUUCAUUAUGUAGUGUUUCUUUGACCUAUGUGAGAAAUAAACGGCUUAGCUAGCUGAUACAAUCUUAAAGAUGCUUUUAUAAAGGUUUUGUAAAAUUUCAGCCAGUAGUUUUGAAAGUGCUCACGAGUCAAAAUAGGUUCCUGAAAAUUGUCCACAAAUGUUCACAACGCCAACCAUUUUUUUUUUAAAAUAAUACAAUUCGUACAAUAUGUUACAAAUGUGUAUGUGCUUAAGAUCCUGUUAAACCUCUUUAAUCGUGAGCCAGCUAUUUGAAGACUCCUGACCUCCUCACUCCUACCUGUCUCCCUCCUCCCUCCUAUUUCCUCCAUCCCUAAACUCUAAGUUCACAUCCCCUUCCUGUUCAGAUCAGGUAUUUUGAUAACCCUUGGUUGAAGAUCUCCAGUGUGCUAUCCCACUGGACAAAGAUAUCAGUUCAACGUCAUUUGAUUGAGUUUUCAACAAACAUAAAUUCAACGUGAAAUAAACAUAUUUGAACCAUGUAAUUGGAUUUAGGUUUAAAGUUGGGUGAAUAAAAGAAAUAUCCCCGAAA